rnacentral:lncRNA from 1 species
UUGUCAUCAUAAGCAUAGCUGUAAGCGUCGGGGCAUUGGUCAUCGAAUAUCUGAGAGUAAUUUGUCGGUGGGCAUGUCUCCGGAGUGUUUUGAGGCGGAGUGCAACAGUACCAUGGCUCACCGAAUUUAACACAUGCACUCAAGCAGGCAACCACGCUCCCAUCGGACCCUUUCUUUUGCAGCUCACUCGGACAAACUGCGUUCACGUUCCCAGGGCAAGUAGCCGUCUUGCAGUCGCCGG